rnacentral:misc_RNA from 1 species
GAUGAAGAAGGUAGCGAAAUGCGAUAAGUAAUGUGAAUUGCAGAAUUCAGUGAAUCAUCGAAUCUUUGAACGCACCUUGCGCUCUUUGGUAUUCCGAAGAGCAUGCCUGUUUGAGUGUCAUGAAAAUAUCAACCUUGACUUGGGUUUUGUGCUCUAGUCUCGGCUUGGAAUUGGGUGCUUGCCGCUUUUACGAGCGGCUCACCUUAAAUGUAUUAGCUGGAUCUGUCUUUGAGACUUGGUUUGACUUGGCGUAAUAAGUAUUUCGCUAAGGACAUUCUUCGGAGUGGCCUCGUUUCUAGGACGCUUGUCCGCUUUCCAAUACAAGUUCCACCUCGUGGACAUGACUUUUUAUUAUCUGGCCUCAAAUCAGGUAGGACUACCCGCUGAACUUAAGCAUAUCAAUAAGCGGAGGA